rnacentral:rRNA from 1 species
GAGUUUGAUCAUGGCUCAGAUUGAACGCUGGCGGCAGGCCUAACACAUGCAAGUCGAACGGUAACAGGAAGCAGCUUGCUGCUUCGCUGACGAGUGGCGGACGGGUGAGUAAUGUCUGGGAAGCUGCCUGAUGGAGGGGGAUAACUACUGGAAACGGUAGCUAAUACCGCAUAAUGUCGCAAGACCAAAGAGGGGGACCUUCGGGCCUCUUGCCAUCGGAUGUGCCCAGAUGGGAUUAGCUUGUUGGUGGGGUAACGGCUCACCAAGGCGACGAUCCCUAGCUGGUCUGAGAGGAUGACCAGCCACACUGGAACUGAGACACGGUCCAGACUCCUACGGGAGGCAGCAGUGGGGAAUAUUGCACAAUGGGCGCAAGCCUGAUGCAGCCAUGCCGCGUGUAUGAAGAAGGCCUUCGGGUUGUAAAGACCUUUCAGCGGGGAGGAAGGGAGUAAAGUUAAUACCUUUGCUCAUUGACGUUACCCGCAGAAGAAGCACCGGCUAACUCCGUGCCAGCAGCCGCGGUAAUACGGAGGGUGCAAGCGUUAAUCGGAAUUACUGGGCGUAAAGCGCACGCAGGCGGUUUGUUAAGUCAGAUGUGAAAUCCCCGGGCUCAACCUGGGAACUGCAUCUGAUACUGGCAAGCUUGAGUCUCGUAGAGGGGGGUAGAAUUCCAGGUGUAGCGGUGAAAUGCGUAGAGAUCUGGAGGAAUACCGGUGGCGAAGGCGGCCCCCUGGACGAAGACUGACGCUCAGGUGCGAAAGCGUGGGGAGCAAACAGAAUUAGAUACCCUGGUAGUCCACGCCGUAAACGAUGUCGACUUGGAGGUUGUGCCCUUGAGGCGUGGCUUCCGGAGCUAACGCGUUAAGUCGACCGCCUGGGGAGUACGGCCGCAAGGUUAAAACUCAAAUGAAUUGACGGGGGCCCGCACAAGCGGUGGAGCAUGUGGUUUAAUUCGAUGCAACGCGAAGAACCUUACCUGGUCUUGACAUCCACGGAAGUUUUCAGAGAUGAGAAUGUGCCUUCGGGAACCGUGAGACAGGUGCUGCAUGGCUGUCGUCAGCUCGUGUUGUGAAAUGUUGGGUUAAGUCCCGCAACGAGCGCAACCCUUAUCCUUUGUUGCCAGCGGUCCGGCCGGGAACUCAAAGGAGACUGCCAGUGAUAAACUGGAGGAAGGUGGGGAUGACGUCAAGUCAUCAUGGCCCUUACGACCAGGGCUACACACGUGCUACAAUGGCGCAUACAAAGAGAAGCGACCUCACGAGAGCAAGCGGACCUCAUAAAGUGCGUCGUAGUCCGGAUUGGAGUCUGCAACUCGACUCCAUGAAGUCGGAAUCGCUAGUAAUCGUGGAUCAGAAUGCCACGGUGAAUACGU